GCCUUCGUGGUGUAAUGGUCAGAAUGCUCGACACGUAACGGACAGGUCCGUGGUUCGAUUCCCGGCGAGGGCA
rnacentral:tRNA from 1 species